GCUCAGAAACUUAAAUGAAUUGACGGGGGCCCGCACAAGCGGAGGAACAUGUGGUUUAAUUCGAUGAUACGCGAGGAACCUUACCUGGGCUAGAACGCAUUCGGAAUCAGGCCGAAAGGCCUGCGCCAGCGAUGGCCGCUUGCGAGGUGCUGCAUGGUUGUCGUCAGCUCGUGCCGUGAGGUGUCGGGUUAAGUCCCAUAACGAGCGCAACCCCUACUGCUAGUUGCCAGCGGGUCAUGCCGGGGACUCUAGCGGAACUGCCAGCGUAAGCUGCGAGGAAGGUGGGGAUGACGUCAAAUCAGCACGGCCCUUACGUCCAGGGCUACACACGUGUUACAAUGGCCGGUACAGAGGGCAGCCACCCCGCGAGGGGGCGCGAAUCCCGAAAGCCGGUCCCAGUUCGGAUCGGAGUCUGCAACCCGACUCCGUGAAGCUGGAUUCGCUAGUAAUCGCGCAUCAGCCACGGCGCGGUGAAUACGUUCCCGGGCCUU
rnacentral:rRNA from 1 species